UUCGUGGUGUCCUGGUGGUGAGAGCUCUGCUUCGGGACCGGAGAGUCACAGGUUCGAAUCCUGAUUCUACCAAA